UGGUGCUCUUCCAGACAUUUUCUCCUCCUCACAAAAGCUUGUAAAUCUGCAGCUCGGGAACAACUUGCUUGAAGGGCAAAUUCCAUGCAGUCUGAGUAAACUUAGGCAACCUAAUUUUGCACUGAAUCUGAGCAUGAAUAAGUUUAGUGGUAAAAUUCCUGGGUGUCUGAGCAAUCUAGACAAUUUAGAAAUCCUUGAUAUAUCAAGCAACAACUUGUUUGGUGCAAUACCAUCAGAUAUGGAAAAGAUGAGGUCCCUUUCAUUUCUCAACAUAUCAUUUAAUAACUUGUCAGGGCAGAUACCUGAUACAUGGGAAAAGCUGUUAAGUUCACAUCCAGGAUCUGCCCUGGGAAAUCCAGGACUUUGCUUAUCAGACACUGAAGGUAGCAACUGCAAGCAAGUGAAAAAAUCACAAGAAAAAUGGAAGACCAUGGCUGGGGUAAUUAGUGGAUGUGUUCUUUCCAUGGCAAUCAUAGUUGCUGCAAUGUACUUACUAGUUACUCGCAUUUGGCACCCAACCCUUCUGAAUAAGCAUCGGCUCGUCAAGUGUCAGUCAGGAAGUGAAGAUCUACCGGAUGGUAUAACUUUUGAGGACAUUGUACAUGCAACAGAAAACUGGAGCGAGAAAUAUGUUAUUGGAAGAGGCAAGCACGGAACUGUUUAUAAGAUGGAAUCUGCGAAAUCCAAAAAGCUUUGGGCUGUCAAGAAGGUUGACUUAACUCAGAGAGCAUUCAGCGAUGAAAUGAGAAGCCUAAAUUCUGUCAGACACCGCAAUUUGGUAAGAUUGGGAGGAUACUGCACGAGACAUGGAUAUGGCUUCAUUCUAACAGAAUUUAUACCUGGAGGAACUCUUCAUGAGCUCCUUCACCAGAGAAAACCACUUGUAGUCUUGGACUGGGAGUCCCGCCAUCUUAUUGCUCUUGGUAUUGCUCAAGGUCUGUC
rnacentral:lncRNA from 1 species